CACAUGAACUGAGCAGGAACUGAAGAAAAUGCAAGAUGGCUACUGACUUGUAAGCAAACAUUCAUCGGUCGGAAUUAUCUUACUAUGAAAUCGUGAAAAACCUAUCUACAUUUGUCAAAUGGAAACACUGAAAUACAAGCACGUCAUUUCGAGGUAGGCCCGCUGGAAUAUGUUCGUGGAAACCACACUGACCGAGUUACCUAGUCUCUAACAAAGUGUGCUUUCUUAAAGUGUCUACGGUGCUGCUCGUUCAUUAAAAGAACGUGCAACAGCCAUGAGCACUUCAUCCCUUCAUUGCUGGCAGGAAGAGGAGUUUACAAUUUUGGCAUUGUGUGCCCAGUGUACACCUUUUCAGAUGGUAAGAGAAAACACAUAUUUCCAAAUUUUAAUCAGAAAUAUUAUUUGAUUGUCAAAUUGUUACGAUGUAUUUAUUACCCCACUCCUAGAAAUCGUGGCCACCUUGUCACUUAACUGGAUUCAUUGAGCAGAUUAACUGUUCAAAGUCUAACAAACUUGAACAGAAGAGGUAGGCUUGUUGUCCUUGAUUUCCUAAAUAACAUUGAGUUGAUGAAAAUUAUUACAAUUUUUAAAAGCUAGGUAACUGUGAUAACAAAUAUAACACUUUGGAAUGGAUUUACAGGGAAAGGAACUUGUUUGGAAUUUAUAUGACAAUUUAUAAAUUAAAUCUGAGAUACUGCAAUAAGCUUUGUGAAGCAGACUCAAGACUUUAGCAUCAGUCUUAAUUGUCGAUCGUUCUGUCAGCUGCCGCUCUUUAAGACAGGAGGAAAAGCUCUUCUGGAAGUUUGAGGGAGUCAUGAUGACUCUGACAGUUGUCUUCAUCCUACUUGUGAUUGCCCGUCAGCGUGGCUUGGACCGCCUUGCCUCAGAGAAGGUCCGUCGGCAGAUCGAAUCCAUAUAGUCUCCUCCAAAGUUGAACUACCUCAUUUACCAUUGUGAGCAUUUUACUGCACUUUAAUGUCAUUUCUUCAUGUAGUGGCCUUAUUGAGUAUGUAUAUACCAAGGUGUAAUCGUUUAUGGAUACAAAUGUGUCUGUCUUACUUGAUUAUAUUGAGGGUUUAAACACGGUGUUAUUUAUCAGUCAUCUGUAUAAUUCCUUCUCAUGCCUUAAGUUUUCAGUUUGAGAUCAAAAGUGCUUGCUGUUAAUGCAGUACAACAAUAUAUAGUUAUUUAAGGUUGUGAUGUAAUCUGUUAUGUUUCUUCUUACUAAAGUCCCAAUGCUUUGUUAACAUAUCCAUAACCUGAGUACUAAAGUACUACAGAACAUUUAAUGUUGUUGCAUGUAAUUAAAAUGUAAAAAUAUGUA